CAAUUUACAUUUGAAAAUGAGGAAGGAUCAUUCCCUUUUACCUUCAGUGAUAUAAUGGGUGCAGAAGCAGAAGGUGGAGUCCACACUGAAGAUAUCAUCCUUGCUUUAAAAGGUCAUAUGAAAGAGGGUUACCUGUUUAACUCUGCAACUCCACUGUCUGAAAGCAAUCUUUAUUACAACCAAAAUCCCAGCCUGAGUGAUCAGAUGCACUGCCUGGUGUUUAUCACACCAGCUGACAAGAUUUCGAUGAUGAACAAAGGUUUUCUUGAAAAAUUGAAGCGUCUCAGAGAAACAGCAAGCAGAAUGGGAAUCGCUCAAGUGGUUUUCAUGACAAGAGUCGACUGUGAAUGUCAAUUGACGAAGGAGAACUUGUGAAAUAUCUACAAAAGCAGAAAAAUCAAACAAAAAACAGAUGAAUGCAGUAAUGUACUGGGUGUGCCUGUGAACUGUAUCUUCCCUAUCAUGAACGAUCACGAGGGGACCCAUAUGAAUGAGGACAUAAACUGCCUGAUGCUGGAUGCUUUAAUACAGAUUAUCAACUGGGCAAAUGAUUAUGUGGUCAAAAGUUCCAAAAAACAAAUUUCACAUCAAUCAUGCAACACACUUUAAAGCAUGAACCUUACAGUAUAUUCGUGUUUGUAUCCAGAUUUUAAA